rnacentral:lncRNA from 1 species
UUGGAUGGUUCUUAAUCUCAUAGUGUUUCAUUUAGCUGAGUGCUGCCAGUGGGAUGUUAGUUGGACCUUGUUGAUGUAACUUGAUGUUGUAUUGGUUGUGGAUGAUAUGUUUGUGGUUGGUUUGUUUAAUUAAAAUAGCAACCACAUAUAGGAUUGUGGAGAUCAUAGGGAAUUGGAUGUUAGGUAUGUGAAUAAGGUGGGUAUUAUUCCUAUUGACUUUGGUUUUUAUAGCUAGAAAUCUGGAUUACAUUAUGAGCUGUGACGGGUUGUGUGGUAACAAAGGCUUGUUGUGGUUAGUGAGGUAGUGGUCAUGGUGGACACCACUGAUGUGUGAAGGUAAUUUGUUGGUAGCCGUUGAUAUGUGUGGGAAGAUGAGAGUUUUUUUUUUGUUGUGUUCCUGGAGAAGGUGAACUAAAGAUUUGUAUUUGUGGCUACACGGGUGUUGUUGCUGAUACCCCGAAGUUGUAUUGUGGUUAGAGAGGUUGUGGCCAGGUUGAGCAACAGUUAUGUGCGAAGGAGAUGGUGAAACUAUUUUUUAUACUUGUGGAUACGCUGGUGUGGAUGUUGUGGUUGUGGUUUAAAGGUUGAUUUUUAAUUGGUUGUGGAUGAUAUGUUUGUGUAUUUAAAAUAGCAUCCACAUUUAAGUUUGUGAAGGUCAAAGGGAAUUGGAUGUUAGGUUUGUGAGUCAGGUGGGUAUUAUUCCUAUUUACUUUGGUCAUCAUAGCUAGAAAUCUGAAAAUAGAUUAUGAACUGUGCGGGGUUAUGUGGUAACAAAUGCUUGUUGUGGUUAGAGAGAUAGUGGUCAUGGUGAACAACUCUGAUGUGUGAAGGUAAUUUGUUGGUAGGGGUUGAUAUGUGUGGGAAGCUGAUAGUAAUGUUUAUUGUUGUGUUCCUGGACAAGGCGAACUUAAAAUUUGAAUUGGUGGCUACACGGGUGUUGUUGUUGAUGAACAGAAGUUCUGCUGUGAUUAGGGAGGUUGUGGUCAGGAUGAAAAGCAGUAAUGUCUGAAGGAGAUGGUGAAACCAUUUUAAAUACAUGUGGAUACGCCGGUGUGGAUGUUGUGGUUGUGGUAUAAGGAUUGAUGUUGGAUCAUAUCUCGUUUGUCAUUAGGUGUUGCAUAGUAGAUGGGUGGCAAUGUUGAAUACAAGAUUGGGGGAAGCAAUAACUAAUUAUUUUUCAUAGUAGAUGGGUAGCAAAGUUUACAACAAGAUUAUGGGAUCUGGAUUCAGAACCAGAUCUAGACCUUAGAUCUGAUACACUCUAAAACCUCAACAAUCUCGCUGAUAUCUUUCUUCAUGUCAAGAAGUUCUUGCUUUAGUUGGAUCAGGUCU